AAACUUAAGAUCUAUAUUUGAGAAUAAAUUAUUAUUUGAAGAUUUAUUUAAAAUAGAUAAAAUAUAUUUUAUAUUUGAGAACACAGAGAAUUGGUGUUGAAUAUUUUGGUAAAAAUAUUUAAAAUUAUAUUUAAUUAACGAUUUUGUUUUGAUUGGGCAGGUAUUAAUUUUUUUAAAAAAUAUUCUAUGCUUUUACGACGCAUUAUUUAAAUAUUGAAUAUUUUGUUAAAAAUAUUUAAAAUUAUAUUUAAUUAACGAUUUAGUUUUGAUUUGGGGUAUUAAAAUAUUUUUAACAAUAUUUAAUGCUUUUAUGGUGCGCCAAAUUUUAAUACUCGUCAAAAUUAAAUCUACUAUUUAUUUAAGGAAAAACCUACUAUCAUAAAUUAAAAUUAAAAUUAUCAAAUUCGCGGGUAUUAAAUUUAUGCGGGCAUUACAAAUUUUAAUUUUAAUUUUGAAUACUAUAUGUUGGCAGCAAAUAAAUUUAAUUUUAUAUAUUACGUGAUUAGCGAAGGUAUUGCAUGAUUGGCGGGUAUUACGUUAGAUAAGAGAUAAAUUUAGUUUUACGUAUGGUUGGUAGAAAAAAAAAAUAUGAGAAACGCGGAGUAGAUAGGAGAUAACGGAUAUAGAGGGUAUUUUUGUCAACAAAAAUGACAGAUACUUUUAUUUUUAUUCGUUGGAUGAGAUUUAAUGGCGAAAACUUAAGAUCUUUAUUUAAGAAUAAAUUAUUAUUUAAAAAUUUAUUUAAAAUGAGUGGUUGAAAUUUACUGGACAUGACAGUAUUAGUAAAAAAGAUAGAGACAUUUUUGGAAAGGAAAAAAUUUCAAAACUCACGCUUUUAUAAGUAGUAUAGAUAUAGAUAAAUAUAUAACUUUCAUAUAUAGUAUUUUAUUAUUAUCAAAACAACGAUAGUAAUAAUAAAUAAAAUUACAGUAUUCUAAAAAAAAGCAUAAAACUCAUAACU
rnacentral:lncRNA from 1 species